GCAAUAUGCUGGGUGCCUCCUAGAAAGGUGGUGCUUAAAGGGAAGGGCUGCUGAAGGCCAUGAGUGCAGUGCAGGUGAUGCUCAGCAUCUUGCAGGAUGAAUCCCCUUUGAAAUGAACAGACCCUCUCUAGACGGUGUCAUUUAUUUUAUCACAGCUUCCCAAAUAAACCAGUUCCCGGAGGAACCUCGUGUUAUUAAAGUGCUGAGAACAGCCCAUUUCUUGGAGGGGAAGGUCUCUGCAGGCUGCAGGCUUCAGCUGCUAAACCUGGAUAUCACCAGAAGUGCUGAGCUAAACUGAUGCGAUGACACAUUUGCCUGUGUGGCUUCCUGCAGAUGGCACAGAAAUUUUGUGAUCAAAUGUAGGGAACCUGUACCAGCCAGGAGGCUUAUCCCCGUGUGGCUUACAGCUCCGUGUUUAGCCUUGUCUGCUGGGAACCAGGCUUGAUCCACUGCCUCAUGCUGGAAGGGACUCAGGUCUAAACACUAGUCUAGCUGGUUUAACCGUGUGAUACCAUCUUUGCCAUGCAACAUGUGGGCUGGCUCCUCAUCUGGCUGCAGAGCCACGUCUCACAGGUCUCCGGUUCUCCGGCAAAACCACAGCUUGCAGGUGGAACUGUGCUCUUCAUCCCACCGCCACCUUUGCAACCUGCAGGAAGAGUUCAGGUCACACGCAGCACAAAUCCAGAUGGUCACCUGAACCCAGACGCUGCCACAGAAGUUGCUUUCUCUCAGAGGUGCUCCUUGGGAGGCUGUGUCAUGCCUCCCACCCCUCAGCAUCAACAAAUCAUCCCAACUGUCCCAGGGCCUAUACAUGCAACCAUCUGCCGAAGGGCCAACACAGUCAUAUCCCAAACGCAUGA